CCUAUCGCUGCCAUAAGAAUUUUUUUCGGAAAAGUAAAUUGAAUUUAAAAACACCACUGGCCUAUCGCUGCCAUAAGAAUUUUUUUCGGAAAAGUAAUAUUUGAAUUUAAAAACACCACUGGCCUGUCGCUGCCAUAGACCAAUAUGCAUUGCGGUCGGAAAAGAGGAUAUUUUGCUUCAGAAGAGUGGAAGCACUAUAAACUCACAUGUUUUCAAAAUGGCAGAAUUCUCGAGACGAGACGAAAUGAAGCAAAAAAGAGCAAGAAAAAUGAUUGAAAGAGGGAAAAAUUGAAGAAAUAGUUGUACAAUGCCAAAGCUCAGAUGUCUCGGGCAAGGCACAAAAGUACAGCAGAGUUGAGCCGCGAGAAUUCGUGCAGUUUGGUGAAAAGGAUAUGAGCAUGGAGAACAAAAUAUAUAACAGGAAAGGCUGCUUUGUCUGAAGCAUUUUGCUUCCAAAAUUGGUCCAAACACGAUUUGUGAUAGUGUCACUGGAGAGCAGGGAGCCGUCAUAUUGUCGCUAUUUAUAGGGGCCAAUACAGGGGUCGUCAUAUAGGGGCCUAUAUAUGGGAGCCGUAUAUAUAUUGGCCAUAUUUAAUAGGGGCCAAUAUAGUGGCUGUCAUAUUGUAUUAUUGUCGCUAUUAGGAGCCAAAGUACGAAAGUAGGUAGGGGCCACCUUAUAGGGGGCCUUAUAGAUAAAUAUAUUAAAUUACCAAUUUACAAUUACCUAUCUUCAAUAUACAAUAUAACUGAAAUACCUUCCUAGCCACCACCUGAUUAGUGGUUGCUGUUUAUAUACAUUUAAUAACUGAAAUAUCGUCCUUGCCUCCACCUGGUUACUGUUGAAUUGACAGAACUUUAAUAACCGAAUUACCGUCCUUACCAUCACCUGGUUGUUGACCCAACAAAUCAAGUUUACAGCUUUUAUAUAGUCGUUUGAAGGUACUUGACAAAUAAAAAUAAUAUAACAGUCUAUUCCAAUACUGAAGAACACACC